ACUCUUUUCCCUCCCAUUAAUUCCCAAAAAUUUAAACCCCCGCCCACUGAAUUAUUUUCCCCAAAAUUUUCAAACACUCAGGCCUCAGCUCGCAGCUUGAAUUGUUUACCAAAAUAAAAAACACUAAAUAUUCUAGAGAGAGGAGAGGGACAAAGAGACGUCAGUCUUUGAGAUUUGAGAAGAAAUAGAAAGAUGUUCAAAGUUAGGGUUUAGUUAUUGACGAUUUAGGGCUGCAAUUUGCAAGUAUUUAUAAGCAAUUUUUCGCAAUGUCUAGCAAUUGGACGCAAAUUCUCUCAAGAAAACUCCAAAAGUCUGCAACAAAUUCAAAUUAGACGAUCACGACGAAGGAAGGGGACGACGAACGAAGGAGACGACCAUCCCAUUCAAACUGUAAUCCCGUACCACAAAUUCAAAAACUCUCCCAAGGGUCAACAAGGUUAACAAUCCGGAAAAUGUCAUACAUCAUUAUGGCUUAAACAAGCUUCCUGCAGGCAGCAGGUUCAGAGGUGGACGAGGGAGAUCAAGAACAAUCCUGUGGAGUCAACUCAUAAGAUGUUGGGAUUCUGAGGCACCUUCCUUAAUUGACUGUCACUAUAACACUAUAUGAGAGGUAGCUAAUGUUGCUUUUCUCUUCUCGAUUAAUCCCCACCCCUUCCCUUCCGGCCUCCUUUAGUUUGGUUGAUUUGACAUGGUGCCUUUCACAAGUACAGGCAGUUCCUGCUCAGCUUGGUUCAAACUUCAAACACAAUUUCUACUUCCUCCAUCCCAAAACAAUAAGCUGUAUUUGAUUGGAGUCAUUUUAAGGAAUUGAGAUUUUCAUUUUAAAAUAGUCGUAUCUAGGAGCAUGGUGAGAUAAAUGGAGAAGAAAUGUAGAUCUAGCAAAUGAGACGAUGGAGGCUCUUGUUUGUGCUUUGGCCAUUUUGUGAUUUCUUAUAAUGUUGAAUUUGUUUCUGGAUUUAAAUUUUAUGUAUUUUUAUCAUUAAAAUCACUAUAUUAAUUAGUAAACAACUAUUUGUAAUGCAUGUGUCCUAUGGGCACUAAUAUUGUAAUAUUACUCUUUAAGUCAAUGGA